CAUAUGUGUUUACAUGCAAAUGUAUAUUUGUAUAUGUGUGUGAGUAUACAUACAUACACACACACACACACACACACACACACACACACACACACAC
rnacentral:miRNA from 1 species